rnacentral:rRNA from 1 species
AGAGUUUGAUCAUGGCUCAGAUUGAACGCUGGCGGCAUGCUUAAUACAUGCAAGUCGAACGGUAACAGGUCCUUCGGGAUGCUGACGAGUGGCGGACGGGUGAGUAAUGCAUAGGAAUCUGCCCAGUAGUAGGGGACAACCUGAGGAAACUCAGGCUAAUACCGUAUAAGUCCUACGGGAGAAAGGGGGCCUCUUCUUGAAAGCUCUCGCUAUUGGAUGAGCCUAUGUCGGAUUAGCUUGUUGGUGGGGUAACGGCCUACCAAGGCGACGAUCCGUAGCUGGUCUGAGAGGACGAUCAGCCACACUGGGACUGAGACACGGCCCAGACUCCUACGGGAGGCAGCAGUAGGGAAUAUUGGACAAUGGGCGAAAGCCUGAUCCAGCAAUGCCGCGUGUGUGAAGAAGGCCUGCGGGUUGUAAAGCACCUUCAGUUGGGAAGAAAAUCUUUAGGUUAAUAUCCUAAAGUCUUGACGUUACCAACAGAAGAAGCACCGGCUAACUCUGUGCCAGCAGCCGCGGUAAUACAGAGGGUGCGAGCGUUAAUCGGAAUUACUGGGCGUAAAGCGUGCGUAGGCGGUUAAGUCAGUCGGAUGUGAAAGCCCAAGGCUUAACCUUGGAACGGCAUUCGAUACUGCUUAGCUAGAGUACAGUAGAGGGAAGC